GUCUUGACCAACUGACUGAAUUACUAAAAAGCAUACAGAAAAAGUGUCAAAAGCAGUCCAAUUGCAGCGAUGAAUUUCAACGUUAUCUUGAAGUGGCCUUUGCAGACCUAAAGGGUCUGUCAACCCAUGUUGGGAAAUGCCCAAAUUUACAUCAAGCCAAAUGCUGUAGUGCAGAAA